rnacentral:rRNA from 1 species
UUAAGCAGCAGGCGCGUAAAUUACCCAAUUCUGAUACGGAGAGGUAGUGACGAGAAAUAGCAAGGCGCGGCCCUUCGGGUUGUGCUAUUGCAAUGAGUGCGAUGUAAAGUUCCCAACGAGGAUCCAUUGGAGGGCAAGUCUGGUGCCAGCAGCCGCGGUAAUUCCAGCUCCAAUAGCGUAUACUAACGUUGUUGCAGUUAAAAAGCUCGUAGUUGAAUGUGUGGUGGGUGUUGACCGUGUCUGUACCUUGUGUACUGUUUCACAGUGUCAACGCUUGCUAUUCUGGAAAGAGUAAUCUUUCCUCA